rnacentral:rRNA from 1 species
CACGUAGGAUCCGAGCGUUAUCCGAAUUUACUGGGCGUAAAGCGCGUGUAGGCGGUUUAGUAAGUUGGAUGUGAAAGCUCCUGGCUCAACUGGGAGAGGCCGUUCAAAACUACUAAACUAGAGGACGGUAGAGGGAGGUGGAAUUCCCGGUGUAGUAGUGAAAUGCGUAGAUAUCGGGAGGAACACCAGUGGCGAAGGCGGCCUCCUGGACCGUUCCUGACGCUCAAACGCGAAAGCUAGGGGAGCGAACGGG